CACAAGUAAACUUCAACUUUAGGCUAAAAAUUGUCAAAUUAAUGUCUAAAAAGCUCCAUAUUCCAUUAAACUAACAUGAGGUUAAAUGGUUUGCCUCUGCAACUAAAAUCUUCAAAGCUCAACCCUUUUCAUUAGCAUCUAUCUACAUAGCCAAUCCAAUCCUAAAGAAGUUCCCUAAUCCAUUAAUGAUCAAAACCAACACAAAAUAAGAUUUCUUCUGCAACUAGAAUCUUCAAAGCUCUAGCUUGCUCAUUAGCUUCUACAUAAUCAAUCCAUUUCUAAACAAGUUCCCUAACCAAAUCAAACCAAAAACAAGAGUGGGUCUGUUCUGUAACCAGAAUCUUAGCUUGUUCAUUAGAUUCUACAUAGGCAAGACAAGAUUAAGUUUCUUCUGCAACUAGAAUCUUCAACGCUGUAGCUUUCUCAUAUAUAUAUAUAGAGGCUUCAUUUUCAAGACCAUUACUUACUUGUAUUGCUGCUCGAUUUUGUAAACAUCAGGGGCUAGUUCUCGACAAACCUCACACCAAUCUGCAUAAAACUCUACCACUGUCGGCUUCCCAUUCGACAAAGCCUAACAAUCCAUUUCAUAAAACUCACUAAGCAUUCGUAUUAAUUCAUUCUAUGAGUUCAAAAAACAUAGAUGAAGAAACCUCCUCGUAAGGCAACGCAGAAGCGGUUAAAUCCUUCAAGGAAAUCCCAAAAUCGAGCCUUGUCGAUACAAAUAACGACAAAGCCGCAAUUACAGUAACAGCCGCAACUCUUCUAUUGAUAUCCUUAUUGGGAGAUUCAGGGAAUCCAGAAGAAGAGGAAGAAGAAUCAGCAACAGAUGAUUCCACUUCCUUCGACGCAGCUGAACUUUCACCAAUAUUAUCUACUACCAAUCUCUCCUGAAUCAGUUAAAGGCUAGAUCUUUAGCUAAUUUGCCGUCGACCCAUUUCAAAAAAAUCGAAAUUUUCACCUGUUUGGUUUCGGAAGAUUCUGGGUUUGGUUUGCAACGAACAGCACGAAAUCUUGGAGCUCCUGUUUGGGUAACGAAUAAAGAUUGAUGAUUUCGAGGACUGAGAUUGAAUCCAUG
rnacentral:lncRNA from 1 species